GUCCGGGUAGCUUAGUUGGUCAGAGCGCCGUACUAAUAAUGUGGAGGUCGAGGGUUCGAGCCUCUCUCAGGGCA
rnacentral:tRNA from 1 species